GCUAAGUACGUGUCAGCAGCCGGGGUAAGAGGUAGGCAGCAAGCGUUGGUCGGAAGUACUGGGCGUAAAGAGUGUGUAGGCGGUGCUCUAAGUUCGUUGGGGAAUCGCCCGGCUUAACUGGGAGGGUGCGGCGGAAACUGGAGUGCUCGAGCGCGGGAGAGGAAAGCGGAAUUCCUGGUGUAGCGGUGAAAUGCGUAGAUAUCAGGAGGAACACCUGUGGUGUAGACAGCUUUCUGGACCGUAGCUGACGCUGAGACACGAAAGCGUGGGUAGCAAACAGGAUUAGAUACCCCAGUAGUC
rnacentral:rRNA from 1 species